GCUAGCCCCUCAGUGUUUCCUGGAAGACAUCAAUUCCUCAUCGAUCUAUGUCACGUACUUAUUUCCAGAUGGCAAUGUGCUUCUUAACAAGUGUCUAAAUCUUUCUUCUGCCCACAGGACUGCAUUUCACAAGCCUCCUGUCACAUCUUGUCUUACUCUUGGCCUGAUGCCACACUCACCAGGAUGUGUCUGGUUGGUGUGUGUCCUAGAGUUUCUUCUCAGUGGGGGACCCAUCCACUGGCGAGUCCAAGCCCAGAAUUUUGCUUCAGAGAGUCCUGACCUCCCAACAGUGAUCCUCCUCCACCUAUCUACAGCUAAGUCAAGAAACAUUGUUCCUGGUGGUGAAAUGGGACAGUGAGUGCUCCAUAAUCCCUGUGAAAUAACUUUGAGACUGUGACAUCAAAAGAUAAGAGUGGAAUUAAGUAUGUAUCAUAGAAAGAGUGACAGCAUGAUGCUUUACCUACUUUAAGCAAAUAUGUGUAUGUUUCCUAACUAAUGUGAUAGGUUGCAUGCUAUCUCUUAUAGUGGGCAUUUUUCAAUAACUCCCAAGCAAAUCUCUUUGACUCCAGCCCUCCUCCUUCAUAUCACUCCCAUGUGAAGGGUAGAACAAUCUUUCCUACAGCACAGCUCUGAUAAGACUGCCUUCUGCUCCAAUAAUUUUAAUACCCAGAGAAGAAAGCCCAUGGUAGAUCUCAUGGUAGAUCCCACCCCUCAAAUUCUUUCCUCAAACUUCACUUUUACUCUUUUAAUUUUUUAUGUUUAAACAUAAAUUGAAAUUUUAUGUAUUAAAAAUUUCAAUACAUAGAAAAGUUCAGAGAAAACUGUAACAGGCAUUGAAGUGCCCACAACCAUUUUAGACUGUUAUUUAGUUUGCCAUGUUUGUGUCAUAUCUGUGUUUAAAGAGCGCCUUAGAGGUGCAGGAGGAGCAGUCUGCUGUCCUGCCCCCCACAUGGCGUUCAGUUUCAUCCUUCUCUCUGUGCCCUUAAGGAAAUUACUAUCCUGAAAUUAUUCUGUGUCCUCCCACCCAAGUUUAUAUGUUUUUGCUAAUUAUAUGUGUCUAUAGUCACUACCUAGUAUUACUCAAGGAGACAAAGUGUAUGUAUCAUAUUCCAACUUGCUUUUUAAGAUUCAAUAUUUUUGAGACUUCAUGUUGAUGAUGUAGAACUAAUUCAUUUAUUUCAACUGAUGUAUUAUAUUCCCAUGUAUGGC
rnacentral:lncRNA from 1 species